rnacentral:rRNA from 1 species
UGCAGUCGAACGCUUCUUUCCUCCCGAGUGCUUGCACUCAAUUGGAAAGAGGAGUGGCGGACGGGUGAGUAACACGUGGGUAACCUACCCAUCAGAGGGGGAUAACACUUGGAAACAGGUGCUAAUACCGCAUAACAGUUUAUGCCGCAUGGCAUAAGAGUGAAAGGCGCUUUCGGGUGUCGCUGAUGGAUGGACCCGCGGUGCAUUAGCUAGUUGGUGAGGUAACGGCUCACCAAGGCCACGAUGCAUAGCCGACCUGAGAGGGUGAUCGGCCACACUGGGACUGAGACACGGCCCAGACUCCUACGGGAGGCAGCAGUAGGGAAUCUUCGGCAAUGGACGAAAGUCUGACCGAGCAACGCCGCGUGAGUGAAGAAGGUUUUCGGAUCGUAAAACUCUGUUGUUAGAGAAGAACAAGGACGUUAGUAACUGAACGUCCCCUGACGGUAUCUAACCAGAAAGCCACGGCUAACUACGUGCCAGCAGCCGCGGUAA